GCACAGCUGAGGAGUCUUAAAAUAGGACGAAACGGCCUUCCAGUAA
rfam:Schistosoma margrebowiei strain Zambia genome assembly, scaffold: SMRZ_contig0006216